rnacentral:lncRNA from 1 species
UACAUUGUUUAAACAUUGGAGUAAAACAAGCUUCUAUUUUGUGUUCUGGUGUGGUAUGACAGUUGAACUAAAAUCAAUGGGUUUUUAUCAUUAUGUCCAAAAGGCAUGUAGCAACUAAGGUUUACAGACAAUGACUAAAAAACAUGAAUGCCACAACAACUAACUACCUGUACUCAUUGCUCCCCUCAAGUCAUGACUGUCAUAACAGUGUAUGGUUUAUCUAAAUGUGUCUAACUUUCUUUCUUUCUUUUUAAACUUUUUUUGAACCAUCAGGCACAAAGAGAAGGAUGCUGACUUUGUGACUGACAGAUGCAGUGUGUGAUCGUGCCUGGGCAAUAUGGAAGGCAGUUCAGGCCUCAGUGGACAAAGUCCCUGACACUCAAAAAUGGCUUUGUGGUGCUUGCUUGUUUGUGGCUGUGGAAGUUGCAAGUUUUACCUUUCACUCCAGAAGUCCAGAAGUCCAGAAGGCAGUGGAUCUGAAGCGAAGAGCAACAAAGACAUACACUUUCCCUCUUCAUGCCUAGUCAGAGUUCUGGUGAGGAAGGGUUCUAGCAGAUGGGUGAUGUGGUCAUAUCCUUCCAUCUGAUGGCAUGUGUGUUCUGGAGUUCUUCAUCAGGCGCUGCCCUCCUAGCCUGCUGCAGC